UAGAGUUUGAUCAUGGCUCAGAUUGAACGCUGGCGGCAGGCCUAACACAUGCAAGUCGAACGGUAACAGGAAGCAGCUUGCUGCUUUGCUGACGAGUGGCGGACGGGUGAGUAAUGUCUGGGAAACUGCCUGAUGGAGGGGGAUAACUACUGGAAACGGUAGCUAAUACCGCAUAACGUCGCAAGACCAAAGAGGGGGACCUUCGGGCCUCUUGCCAUCGGAUGUGCCCAGAUGGGAUUAGCUUGUUGGUGGGGUAACGGCUCACCAAGGCGACGAUCCCUAGCUGGUCUGAGAGGAUGACCAGCCACACUGGAACUGAGACACGGUCCAGACUCCUACGGGAGGCAGCAGUGGGGAAUAUUGCACAAUGGGCGCAAGCCUGAUGCAGCCAUGCCGCGUGUAUGAAGAAGGCCUUCGGGUUGUAAAGUACUUUCAGCGGGGAGGAAGGGAGUAAAGUUAAUACCUUUACUCAUUGACGUUACCCGCAGAAGAAGCACCGGCUAACUCCGUGCCAGCAGCCGCGGUAAUACGGAGGGUGCAAGCGUUAAUCGGAAUUACUGGGCGUAAAGCGCACGCAGGCGGUUUGUUAAGUCAGAUGUGAAAUCCCCGGGCUCAACCUGGGAACUGCAUCUGAUACUGGCAAGCUUGAGUCUCGUAGAGGGGGGUAGAAUUUCCAAGUGUAGCGGUGAAAUGCGUAGAGAUCUGGAGGAAUACCGGUGGCGAAGGCGGCCCCCUGGACGAAGACUGACGCUCACGUGCGAAAGCGUGGGGAGCAAACAGGAUUAGAUACCCUGGUAGUCCACGCCGUAAACGAUGUCGACUUGGAGGUUGUGCCCUUGAGGCGUGGCUUCCGGAGCUAACGCGUUAAGUCGACCGCCUGGGGGAGUACGGCCGCAAGGUUAAAACUCAAAUGAAUUGACGGGGGCCCGCACAAGCGGUGGAGCAUGUGGUUUAAUUCGAUGCAACGCGAAGAACCUUACCUGGUCUUGACAUCCACGGAAGUUUUCAGAGAUGAGAAUGUGCCUUCGGGAACCGUGAGACAGGUGCUGCAUGGCUGUCGUCAGCUCGUGUUGUGAAAUGUUGGGUUAAGUCCCGCAACGAGCGCAACCCUUAUCCUUUGUUGCCAGCGGUCCGGCCGGGAACUCAAAGGAGACUGCCAGUGAUAAACUGGAGGAAGGUGGGGAUGACGUCAAGUCAUCAUGGCCCUUACGACCAGGGCUACACACGUGCUACAAUGGCGCAUACAAAGAGAAGCGACCUCGCGAGAGCAAGCGGACCUCAUAAAGUGCGUCGUAGUCCGGAUUGGAGUCUGCAACUCGACUCCAUGAAGUCGGAAUCGCUAGUAAUCGUGGAUCAGAAUGCCACGGUGAAUACGUUCCCGGGCCUUGUACACGCCGCCCGUCACCAUGGGAGUGGGUUGCAAAAGAAGUAGGUAGCUUAACCUUCGGGAGGGCGCUUACCACUUUGUGAUUCAUGACUGGGGUGAAGUCGUAACAAGGUAACCAA
rnacentral:rRNA from 1 species